AACGAACGCUGGCGGCAGGCCUAACACAUGCAAGUCGAACGAAGUCUUCGGACUUAGUGGCGCACGGGUGAGUAACACGUGGGAAUAUACCUUACGCUGGGGGAUAACAUCGGGAAACUGAUGCUAAUACCGCAUACGCCCUUCGGGGGAAAGAUUUAUCGGCGAAAGAUUAGCCCGCGUCCGAUUAGCUAGUUGGUGAGGUAAUGGCUCACCAAGGCUCCGAUCGGUAGCUGGUCAGAGAGGAUGACCAGCCACACUGGGACUGAGACACGGCCCAGACUCCUACGGGAGGCAGCAGUGGGGAAUAUUGGACAAUGGGCGCAAGCCUGAUCCAGCCAUGCCGCGUGAGUGAUGAAGGCCUUAGGGUUGUAAAGCUCUUUCACCCACGACGAUGAUGACGGUAGUGGGAGAAGAAGCCCCGGCUAACUUCGU
rnacentral:rRNA from 1 species